AGUAUCCCUUCACAUCCACAAAAAACAUAUGUUCAAAGGGCUUGCUUCCACCAUCCGCAUGAAUUGCUACAGAAAAUUCAUUCGGAAGGAAACAUGACAAAACCCUGUCUACCAACUCGUUCAGGUUCACAACUUUAAAGUCGUAGCCCACAGUCUCAAAGCUUGCAUAACUGAAUCCAUCUUCAGGAGUAAUAUGAAUGGUAGAAACAGCACCCCCUUCAACAGAAUUCAUUGAAUAACCACAUGGCUCAAAGUCGAAAUCGCAUAUCUCAGAAUUCGGAAGAAUCUUUCUGAUGCCAGAGUUAACAGUCAUCAUGGCAGCUGAAGCAGAUU
rnacentral:lncRNA from 1 species